ACCUUAAUUGCUGGUACCUUAAUUGCUACACCAACUUGGUAUGCAUACAUGCAUGCCUACACACAUAUAAUAGAGGCUGUAUAAUUAGAAGGCAGAGGAAUAAAAAUUUGAUUUUAUUGACUGGAAUUUUCAGUCUAUUGUUUCCUGUUUUGGGUAGAAAGGAGAGACAGAUUCUUAUUGAAGUAAAUAUGUGGAAUCCACUAAUCUAUUUUUCUUUGUUUCCUAUUAAAAAGCAGCAGGAUUGGGUGACAAAGAAGUACUCCUCCAUCAUAUAAUGAGGAAAACUCAUCAUUUUGACAUUUUUCUUAGAAAACUGAACACAGCAUAUUUUACUUGGACAACCAUUAUAGGAGUUGGAAGAUGACACAUAUUUUGUUACAGACAGAGAUGAAGGACAAGUCUUCUAUUUUAUGGGAAGGCCUGCUGCAUCCUAUUGCAGGGCUGAAAAAUAAUACAAUAAGCUGAAUGCAAGAGAUACAUGCUGUUCAUCUUUCUUCCAUGAAUACUGAUUGGUGUGAACAAGGUUAUUCUAUAGGUGAUAGCAAUGAACGGUAGAACUGACAUCUUCCAUCAAUGCAAACUUAUUUCUUACAAUAAUCAAGUGAUAUGUAGUAAAAAAUGAUUUUAUGGUAUAGAAGACUGAUAAGAGUAAAGAAUCAAAGAAAUGAUUGUGGCAGUUGGAGAAUUUGCAACAAGAAUUGGAUGUAGUCCUUUUCCUCCCUGUCAGCAGACCUGCAGUUUGUAGCCCUGUAGGUUCUUUAGCCUUCAUGUAAUCACAAUCUUAUUUAGAAAUUAAAUUCCAUGGAAUUGAGUAGGUUUUACUUCUGAAUAAGUUAGCAUCAAAUUGCAACAGUACAGCAAUAGUAAUGCCAGUGGUUCAGCCGUUCUGUUUUUUUUAAUUAUUAAUAAAUGAAGGCAGCUUUCAGGUAAUGACUACAAUGCAA